CCAUGGAAUAUGGAGUUCCUGGAGCAGGCAUCAGAUCCAAGCCACAGUUGCAACCUAGGCUGCAGCUGUGGCAACACCAGAUUCUUAACGCACUGUGCAGGGCUGGGGAUUGAACCUGUGUCCUAGCACUCCAGAGAUAGCUCCAAUCCCAUUGUGCCACAGCAGGAACUCUUAGAUGAUUUCCAAGUUCACUCUAGUUUUAAAAUUCUAAUUUUAAGAAAUACUUAACAGUGGAGUUCCUGUCAUGGCACAGCGGAAACGAAUCCGACUAGGAACCAUGAGGUUGUGGGUUCAAUCCCUGACCUUGCUCAGUGGGUUGAGGAUCUGGCAUUACCAUGAGCUGUGGUGUAGGUCACACAUGAGGCUCCAAACCUACGUUGCUGUGGCUGUGGGGUAGGCCGUCGGCUACAGCUCCGAUUGGACCCCUAGCCUGGGAACUUCCACAUGCUGUAGCUGCAGCCCUAAAAAGACAAAAAAAAAAAAAAGAAAAAAAGAAAGAAAAAAAGGCUUAACAGAUAAUAAGAUAAAUGAAGUUAAAACAAUGAAGUAAAAACUCUUCUAAACUUUCACUCAUGCCAGCAUUAUAGUAAGUACCGAGCAUACAAGUGAGUUCAGAUUGUUGCCCUCAAACAGAAUUAUAUGAUAAUGCUAUGAUAGGAUUAAGCACAGAAUUCAAAGGGAACACAGAGGUGUGGCUGAAACAAAGAAAGGUACUUAAAGAGGCUUUCUGGAGGCAAUGAUACUUCAGUUUUAACAAUGAGUUGUGGAAUUGUGGUCGUGGUGCUCAGUGGUUCAAGAAUCAUCCGACCAGCAUCCAGGAGGAUGUGGGUUUGAUCCCUGGCCUCACUCAGUGGGUUAAGCAUUGCUGUGACCUGUGGUGUAGGUUGAGGACAUGGCUCCGAGCAUUGUUAUGGCUGUGGUUUAGGCCAGCAGCUGUAGCUUCGAUUCAACCCCUAGCCUGGGAGCUUUUAUAUGCCACGAGUGUAGCCCUAAAAAGACAAGAGACCAAAAAAUAAAAACUGAGUUCCUUAUCCAUGGCUCAGCAGUAACGAACCUGACUAGUGUCCAUGAGGACGAAGGGUCAAUCCCUAGCCUUGCUCAGUGGGUUAAGGAUCUGGUGUUGCUGUGAGCUGUGGUGUACAUCGAAGAUGUGGCAUAGGUUACAGAUGUGGUUCAGAUCCAGUGUUGGUGUUGCUGAAGUGUAGGCCGGCAGCUAUAGCUUAUUCAACUCCUACUAUUCUGGAAACUUCCAUAUGCUGCCGAAAAGUGAGGCCCUAAAAAGUAAAAAAAAAAAAAAGAAAAAAGAAAUACCAUUAGGAAGGUGAAAACGCAAGCCAUAGUGGGGAGAAGUUACUUGCAAAGACAGCUCCUAUGAAGAAUAUACAAAGAACAAGUAUAGGUUGUGGAAAAAAAAGGCAGAGUCCUACACACUCACCUCAAAAAAAAAAAAAAGAAAAAAAGAAAAAAAAUUCUUCAAAAAGGAGAUAUCCAGGAAUUCUCUUGUGGCACAGAGGAUUAAGGAUCCAGCAUUGUCACUAUAGCGGCUUGAUCGUUGCUGUCGUGGAGGUUUGAUCCUUGACCCUGGAACUUGAACAUGAAGUGAGUGUGUGGGGGGGAAAGACAUAAUCCAAAGGCUAAUAAAUACAUGAUAGCUCUUGGGAAACCCCAAAAUAAAACCACGAGAUACCAUCAUACCCACCAGAAUGACUCCCAAUUAAAAGACAGACGAAGUGACAAAAGAUAAGGAAUUAAAAGUGUAAGCAAGAAUGUGAAGCAACUGGAGUUCUCAUACACUGAUGGAGUUUAUUUUGGAAAACUGGUUGACACUGCUGCACACACACCAUAUUGAUCGGUGAAUCCAUUAUUAGGAAUUACCUGAUCAAAACAGAUAUAUACCCAGCCUAUUCAGCCCUAUUUGAACUGAACUAAAAGUAGUGAAGGUAUACUUUCCCAAGGG
rnacentral:lncRNA from 1 species